AGAGCGAACGCUGGCGGCAUGCUUAACACAUGCAAGUCGCACGGGCAGGGGAAACCCUGUCAGUGGCGGACGGGUGAGUAACGCGUAGGUAUCUAUCCUUGGGUGGGGGAUAACGGUUGGAAACGACUGCUAAUACCGCAUGAUAACUGAGGUUUAAAGGCGCAAGUCGCCUGGGGAGGAGCCUGCGUACGAUUAGCUUGUUGGUGGGGUAAAGGCCUACCAAGGCGACGAUCGUUAGCUGGUCUGAGAGGAUGAUCAGCCACAUUGGGACUGAGACACGGCCCAAACUCCUACGGGAGGCAGCAGUGGGAAUAUUGGACAAUGGGCGAAAGCCUGAUCCAGCAAUGCCGCGUGUGUGAAGAAGGUCUUCGGAUUGUAAAGCACUUUCGACAGGGACGAUGAUGACGGUACCUGUAGAAGAAGCCCCGGCUAACUUCGUGCUAGCAGCCGC
rnacentral:rRNA from 1 species